rnacentral:SRP_RNA from 3 species
AGAAGUUAGCGUUGGACGUGAGUAUCGCCAACCGGGUCAGAUCUGGAAAGAAGCAGCCCUAACGAUUUUUUUACGGGUCAUUCACUAGCUUCUCAC